CUCUGGAGUGUGGAUUCUGGGGGAAACAGGAGGGAGUUACAGAUACACACUUGAUCAGUAGCUCUAACAAAGAGUGCAUGUGAAAAUGGUUCCAGUUACCCACACCUGUGCCAAAAGCAUCUCUAUACACCUUGCAAAUUGAUGAAGAAUAAUUAUGGGCUGAAUAGAAGGCUUGGAGCAAGAGCCAGAGCCCGACUCCUCCAACUUGGACUUGGAACUGCUCAGUAUCAGGAUAAUUCAGAUGUAGCUUGUUCGGGCUGUUCUAAGAUAAGCACAAGUGGGGAAUAUAGUACAACUUGAAGGAGUCAGAAAAGAACAAAGAAGCUUUGAGGUUAUAUAGACAACUAUUUUGAUUUGAAG